rnacentral:rRNA from 1 species
GACAGAGGAGCCAAGCGUUGUCCGGAUUGACUGGGCGUAAAGCGCACGCAGGUGGUCGCGGGCGCCGGUGUUGAAAGUUCGCCGCUUAACGGCGAAACGUGUACCGAUACGCCGCAGCUCGAGCCCGUGAGAGGUCCGUGGAAUUGCCGGUGUAGUGGUGAAAUGCGUAGAGAUCGGCAGGAACACCCAAGGGGAAACCAGCGGACUGGCACGGUGCUGACACUGAGGUGCGAAAGCGUGGGGAGCGAACCGG